rnacentral:rRNA from 1 species
AACGAACGCUGGCGGUAUGCCUAACACAUGCAAGUCGAACGAGAUCUUCGGGUCUAGUGGCGCACGGGUGCGUAACGCGUGGGAAUCUGCCCUUUGGUUCGGAAUAACAGUUGGAAACGACUGCUAAUACCGGAUGAUGACGAAAGUCCAAAGAUUUAUCGCCAGAGGAUGAGCCCGCGUAGGAUUAGCUAGUUGGUGUGGUAAAGGCGCACCAAGGCGACGAUCCUUAGCUGGUCUGAGAGGAUGAUCAGCCACACUGGGACUGAGACACGGCCCAGACUCCUACGGGAGGCAGCAGUGGGGAAUAUUGGACAAUGGGCGAAAGCCUGAUCCAGCAAUGCCGCGUGAGUGAUGAAGGCCUUAGGGUUGUAAAGCUCUUUUACCCGGGAUGAUAAUGACAGUACCGGGAGAAUAAGCUCCGGCUAACUCCGUGCCAGCAGCAGCCGCAG